AUGAACUUUUGUUUCACUGUUAGGGUUGAGCUGGCUCCGGCAUGUGCUCGCUCUGGCAAGUGAUUCUCUUCAUCCACCUGUGCACCUUUGUAGGGAAAAGAGAGAUGUGGAAACAUGUCCAUCUAUCCCUAUGUAUUUUUACACACGAAUUGCAUGUUUUUGAAUGUCUAUUUGAAAGGGUUUGAAACCUUUUAGAAUGUUGUUAUA
rnacentral:misc_RNA from 1 species